rnacentral:misc_RNA from 1 species
CAACCCUCAAGCUCUGCUUGGUAUUGGGCGUCGUCCUCUUGCGGACGCGCCUCAAAGACCUCGGCGAUGGCGUCUAGCCCUCAAGCGUAGUAGAAUACACCUCGCUUUGGAGCGGUUGGCGUCGUCCGCCGGACGAACCUUCUGAACUUUUCUCAA